GGCGGGCUCUCCGUCGGGCGGCUCUCGGUGCUGCGUCUGCCGCUUGUGCUUCAUGCGUCGAUUCUGGAACCACACUUUGACCUGCCUCUCGGUGAGGUCCAGCAAGGCCGCGAUCUCGACGCGGCGCGGCCGGCACAGGAGAAUUGCAAGGGGAAAAAAAUCAAGAUUUGGAGGAAUUACCCACAGAGAUAGAAGGUCUCUCACCCAAGCAGAGUCUAGCCUGAAGGGAAAAAAAACAGGAUCUCUGAAAGAGACAGGAAGAAGAAGCAAGUUGAGCAGGGAACCUUCUCCUGUGAGGAGCCCUCUCUUUCCCCUCCCACUUCACGAAAACAACAACAGCCUGACCUAGAAACUUCCUGAAGAUUUUUAACAUCCAGAGCCAGCAGAACCGAGCCUCCUCCAUGGCCCUGCAGCAGGCAGUCUGUUUCCUUUGAUUUCUCCAAAAGAAGAAAAGAAGAGAGAAACUGGAUAACUAACUGCUGGACUUUUCUACCAAGAGAUGCUAAAGUGCCUCCCGAAUGAGAACACCUUUUCCCAAGGCAAAAAAAGAAAGUCAACAGAGCAAUCAGAACAAUAUUAUUCUCUGGGUUGGAAACAGGGUAUCUUGUUUACUGAAGUUUUCCAAGUAAAAAAAAAAAUCAUUAUUUUAACGCAGACUUUUAAAACUGUGCAGAAAAAAUAAAGCUUCGAGCUGUCA